UGACUCCUCCAUGUCUUGGAGUAGGUCAUUGGGUGGAUCCUCUAUUUCCUUACGUGGGCCACUGGAUGGCUCCUCCAUGUCUUGGAGUAGAUCA
ensembl:miRNA